rnacentral:rRNA from 1 species
GACGAACGCUGGCGGCGUGCUUAACACAUGCAAGUCGAACGGAAAGGCCCUGCUUUUGUGGGGUGCUCGAGUGGCGAACGGGUGAGUAACACGUGAGUAACCUGCCCUUGACUUUGGGAUAACUUCUGGAAACUGGGGCUAAUACCGGAUAGGAGCUCCUGCUGCAUGGUGGGGGUUGGAAAGUUUCGGCGGUUGGGGAUGGACUCGCGGCUUAUCAGCUUGUUGGUGGGGUAGUGGCUUACCAAGGCUUUGACGGGUAGCCGGCCUGAGAGGGUGACCGGCCACAUUGGGACUGAGAUACGGCCCAGACUCCUACGGGAGGCAGCAGUGGAGAAUAUUGCACAAUGGGCGGAAGCCUGAUGCAGCAACGCCGCGUGCGGGAUGACGGCCUUCGGGUUGUAAACCGCUUUCGCCUGUGACGAAGCGUGAGUGACGGUAAUGGGUAAAGAAGCACCGGCUAACUACGUG